AAUAAAUGAAUUAAAUUGGAAAAGAGUAAUUAGCUGAAUGGUUACUUCCAAUAGUGCAAUUUAGGAGUAACUGAAACCCAGAAGGCAGACAAGUGUAUUCCCUUUUUAUCCUUCCAAAUAAACAUAAGGCUUGAAUCAAUUAUUAUUCCAGUAACUGGAGAACUUAUCUUGCUUUCUUUGGAUAAUGAGCAUGGAAGUCCUUUCCAGAAUAGUGUGGAUUAUGGUUUCCUGUGGAAUAUGGAGGAAUUUGUGGUGAUGUCUGUUCCUAGUCUGGGAGUGGAGAAGUCAGCACAGACAGGAUCAAGCAGGAGAGGUUCGGUACACAGGUAAUCAAAUAGAAGAGCUCCUUCGGCAAUCAGCAACAAAGUAACAAGGUAUGCGAGAGGCACAAAUUGAUUGAGCAAUUUGGAUGCGGCUCGGCUUCCUUUUGAAAGGGAAGUGCGUGACAUCAGAUGCAUGGGCGGAGUUGGAUCGGUGAAACCCGGAAGUCAUACGGGUAAUGCCGAUCGGAAGGAAGAUAUGGGUGAAUCCUAAAAGUGUUGUGGCGGAUGUGUACUGUAGUCAUUGCUGCCGCCCAACAGUGGGUGAUUGAACUCAGGACUUAAUUUUGUGUAUUUAUAUCAAGAUGGCGCCAGGUCCCGGGUCAUCCUUACAGCUACUGGGGACUCCGC